UACGGAGGGAGCUAGCGUUGUUCGGAAUUACUGGGCGUAAAGCGCACGUAGGCGGCGAUUCAAGUCAGAGGUGAAAGCCCGGGGCUCAACUCCGGAACUGCCUUUGAAACUAGAUUGCUAGAAUCUUGGAGAGGCGAGUGGAAUUCCGAGUGUAGAGGUGAAAUUCGUAGAUAUUCGGAAGAACACCAGUGGCGAAGGCGACUCGCUGGACAAGUAUUGACGCUGAGGUGCGGAAAGCGAUGGGG
rnacentral:rRNA from 1 species